rnacentral:rRNA from 1 species
GACGAACGCUGGCGGCGUGCUUAACACAUGCAAGUCGAGCGAGCAGAUUCCCUUCGGGGAUGAAGCUAGCGGCGGACGGGUGAGUAACACGUGGGCAACCUGCCUUAUAGAGGGGGAUAGCCUUCCGAAAGGAAGAUUAAUACCGCAUAACAUCAGAUUAUCGCAUGGUAGACUGAUCAAAGGAGCAAUCCGCUAUAAGAUUGGCCCGCGUCGCAUUAGCCAGUUGGUGAGGUAACGGCUCACCAAGGCGACGAUGCGUAGCCGACCUGAGAGGGUGAUGGGCCACAUUGGGCCUGGGACACGGCCCAGACUCCUACGGGAGGCAGCAGUGGGGAAUAUUGCACAAUGGGGGAAACCAUGAUGCAGCAACGCCGCGUGAUUGAUGAAGGCCUUCGGGUUGUAAAGCUCUUUGAUCAGGGACGAUAAUGACGGUACCUGAAGAACAAGCCACGGCUAACUACGUGCCAGCAGCCGCCGUAACAC